ensembl:miRNA
UUGGUCUAGUUCUGUGUGGAAGACUAGUGAUUUUGUUGUUUUUAGAUUACUAAAGUGACAACAAAUCGCAGUCUACCAUAUGGCACAGUCCA